rnacentral:rRNA from 1 species
CGUUCCGGGCCUUGUACACACCGCCCGUCAAGUCACGAAAGUCGGUAACACCCGAAGCCGGUGGCCCAACCCUUGUGGAGGGAGCUGUCGAAGGUGGGACUGGCGAUUGGGACGU